CGCUGGGGUGAAGGGUACAGGAAGAUGCAGCAGCAUGUGCUUUAGAAUUUUGUAUAUGUUUGAUGUUUUCUAUAAUUCAAAAACACUUCAAGCCUGGCGUGGUGGUCCCUGCCUGCAGUCCCAGCUACAGAAGAGGUUUAGGCCCAGGAGUCCAAGGCUCUGUUCAAUGCACCGAGCUAGCUGCUGAGAUGUACAGCUAAGCCAUUGGACAGGACACUGCGCAUGCCCACGCUGCCCACAGCCUCCUUCAAAGCAAGCUGCCAGCUCCUUAUGCAAAGGCCAUCUGAGGUACAAACAAAUAUGUUGGAUCUAAGCAGGGUGCCAUUAACCGUGGGUAGAGAGCAAUAUGGGAUUAAACAGUGAGACAUUGGGAAU